rnacentral:rRNA from 1 species
CCUGUGGGAAGCAGGAGGGACCACCCUCCAAGGCUAAAUACUACCUAGUGACCGAUAGCGUAUAGUACCGUGAGGGAAAGGUGAAAAGAACCCCGGGAGGGGAGGGAAAUAGAACCUGAAACCCUGCACUUACAAGCUGUGGAAGCACAUUUCUUGUGUGACCGCGUACUUUUUGUAGAACGGGCCAACGAGUUACGUUAAGUAGCAAGGUUAAGCACUUAAGGUGCGGAGCCGUAGCGAAAGCGAGUUUUAACUGAGCGUUCAGUUACUUGACGUAGACCCGAAACCGGGCGACCUACCCAUGAGCAGGAUGAAGCGAAAGUAAAAUUUCGUGGAGGUCCGAACCCACGAGCGUUGAAAAGCUCGGGGAUGACUUGUGGGUAGCGGUGAAAUUCCAAUCGAGCCCGGAGAUAGCUGGUUCUCCCCGAAAUAGCUUUAGGGCUAGCCUCAAGGUGAGAGAUACGGAGGUAGAGCACUGAAUGUCCUAGGGGGUAUUGCACCUACCGAAGACUAUCAAACUCCGA